UACGGGGGGGAGCAAGCGUUGUUCGGAUUUACUGGGCGUAAAGGGCGCGUAGGCGGCGUGACAAGUCACUUGUGAAAUCUCCGGGCUUAACUCGGAACGGUCAAGUGAUACUGUCGUGCUAGAGUACAGAAGGGGCAACUGGAAUUCUCGGUGUAGCGGUGAAAUGCGUAGAUAUCGAGAGGAACACCUGCGGCGAAGGCGGGUUGCUGGGCUGAUACUGACGCUGAGGCGCGAAAGCUAGGGGAGCGAAGCGGG
rnacentral:rRNA from 1 species